rnacentral:rRNA from 1 species
UACGAAGGGGGCUAGCGUUGUUCGGAAUUACUGGGCGUAAAGCGUACGUAGGCGGAUUGUUAAGUGAGGGGUGAAAUCCCGAGGCUCAACCUCGGAACUGCCUUUCAUACUGGCAAUCUUGAGUCCGGGAGAGGUGAGUGGAACUCCUAGUGUAGAGGUGAAAUUCGUAGAUAUUCGCAAGAACACCAGUGGCGAAGGCGGCUCACUGGCCCGAUUA